AUCGUAUUAAUAAACUUAGUUGCAAGUCAGAGCUGUUGUUUCUUUUUCUGCCCUGUAACUGGAACCUAAGUAAUUAUUCAUGGUGCUGUAGUUACUCUUCACCUCACAUGUAUUGCCUGUUAUAUCGGCCAAUAAUAAGUGACCACAGAGUGCUUUCUUAUUGUGUCUGUUUUAGAAAUGAGAAAGUGAACAAGACUUGACGAAUUACACCUCUGGUGAUGCAAUGAAAAUGCAAAGAAGAAUGCUUCAGGGUCACUUCAUGCUCUUCAGCAUAGGCACAAGCAAAGGUCCUAAUUAGCUACAAAAUUAUGUGCACAACAUUUAGUGCGGACUAAGAACAUUAAACUUUGGACCCUAUUUCCACCUUCUGUAAGGAUUACAUGGACCUUACAUUCAUCAAGUGUCAGAGACAUGAAGCUCCUUGCAGGAUUUGGCUGGUUUUGCAGUUGUGUUUACUUGCAUCUGUUGUGAAAGCAUUGAAUGAAGUUUGCUCAUACUAAAUUGAUGAGGUGCCAAUAACUUUUAUAAAUGCAACAGGACUUUGCAUAUUUGUAUAUCAACCACCGUGAAAUAAUUUAAAAAUAAAGCUUGCUGCGAAAUUUUAAUUUUCCUGCUCUUUUCUCCCCUACAAAAGUGGCAUAACAGUACUUACGUCAGACCAGCAAUACUGUCAUUACCACAUAACUUAGCAUAAAGUGUCACAAAAUAUAGGAAGACCUUUAUUAUUUCAGCAAACUCUGAAAGAGGACAGACAUGAUAUAACAUACUCUGAUGUAUUUCUGUUCAAGUGUUCUUGUCACCACUGACAUAAAAUAUCCAUGGCAAAUCACACAUUUAGUCAUUCGCAUGGCACAGUGGCUGUCAUAUCUUAAAUGUCCCCAUUUUUGUAGAUUAUUGUAGCACUAUGCAAUUCUAUAAGCACAGUUAUAAGUAAG
rnacentral:lncRNA from 1 species